rnacentral:rRNA from 1 species
ACGAAGGGGGCUAGCGUUGCUCGGAAUCACUGGGCGUAAAGGGCGCGUAGGCGGUCUUUUAAGUCGGGGGUGAAAGCCUGUGGCUCAACCACAGAAUUGCCUUCGAUACUGGGAGACUUGAGUUCGGUAGAGGUUGGUGGAACUGCGAGUGUAGAGGUGAAAUUCGUAGAUAUUCGCAAGAACACCGGUGGCGAAGGCGGCCAACUGGACCGACACUGACGCUGAGGCGCGAAAGCGUGGGGAGCAAACAGG